CACGUAGGGGGCAAGCGUUGUCCGGAUUUAUUGGGCGUAAAGAGCUCGUAGGUGGUUCGAUAAGUCGGGUGUGAAACCUCCAGGCUCAACCUGGAGACGCCACCCGAUACUGUCGUGACUAGAGUCCAGUAGGGGAGCGUGGAAUUCCUGGUGUAGCGGUGAGAUGCGCAGAUAUCAGGAGGAACACCAGCGGCGAAGGCGGCGCUCUGGGCUGGCACUGACACUGAGGAGCGAAAGCGUGGGUAGCAAACAGG
rnacentral:rRNA from 1 species